GUAAAGGAGUUCAGUAUUCCUGGUGCAACAAUCGGUGGAAUUCAGCUGCAGUGUAUGAACGGUUGAAUAGGGCUUUAGCUUCCUUGAGUUGGAUGGAAGCUUUUAAGUGAUGUUCACUAAUUACUUUACCAAUUCAACGUUCGGAUCAUAGCCCUCUAUUGCUUGAUACCGAUUGGAGUAAUUUAAAAGGUCCGAAGUGGAAUAGAUUUGAAGCAACAUGGUUAAGGGAGGAGACCACACAGCAGAUUGUCAAGAAGGUGUGGAGGUGGUCUGCAUAGGGGUAUAAUCGAUUCUCAAUAAGUUAGGGACAAAAGGUUUUGAUGAGACACUUGAAGAAUUGGCAUUCUUUAUCAUUCCGAAGUAUUCAAGGACAAAUAGAUGAUACUCAAAGUCAGUUACAACGUGUUCAAUCUUUUCUUCAUCAAUCUGGGCAGCCUGACAAAGAGAUGGAGUUGAGACAACAAUUGGAUGGCCUUUUGUAGAAACAGGAAUUGUAUUGGGCACAGCGAUCGAAACAAAUGUGGAUGAAGCUUGGAGAUAGAAAUAACAGAUUUUUUUCAUCAAAUGGCUCCUUGGAGGAGAAUUAGAAAUCAUAUUUCUUUUCUUAAAGAUGAAGAAGGUCAUGUUGUUACAGAACCACAGGCCAUUCAGAGAACUUUCAUACUACAUUUUCAAAAGCUUUUUUCACAAACAAAGGGCCGAAUGGGAGUUCUUCGGACACAGUCAGGGACUUUCCAAGAAUUGUGAUUACAGAGGAGCCAGAGUGGAAAGACUGUAUUCAAGGUUCAAAUGCUGUUGUAAAUUUGGCUGGAAUGCCCAUAAGUACAAUAUGGUCUCCUGGGGUUAGCAUUUCAAGCUUAUUUGAUUUUUAAAUUGUGCUCUUUAUGCUACAAGCGAGUGGUAGCUUUGACCAGACCUGUUUACUAUAUACAAAGUUUGCUUUGUAUUAUUAUUACUAUUUUUUUGGAGCUAUGCGCUAUAUAUACUUUUGUAGCCCUUUUCCUGGGUCCGUUAAUAUAUGAUCUGUCAUCAGUUUCUGUCUUGAUCAUACAAAAUUUUGGGGCUUCAGUGACAAUUCCCAGCUGGACUUGCAGUCUUCAAGGUGGAUGUGAAGUAUUGUUCAUCAGAUAGUGAUCGAAUGGAUUAAGAGUGUUGCUCGCAAACGUCAGCUUCACAGAAACAUAUUACUGAUGCUUCUGCCACUAUAUUAACAUAUGGAUCAUAUGGCCUUGGAGUAAGUCAUUUAAUUGGAAGUUUUUUUUCUCUUUCUUUUGUUUCCUUAUUUUUCUGUUGUCAGGAAUAGAUGGGGAGGGGGAAUUCAUGAUACUAUGUUUUUUUUUUUUUUUUUUGCAAGGUAAUUGAUGAUACUAUAUAUGUUUCACUCAUUAACAGCUUGCAAGUAGUUAAAUGAUUAGAAUUGACAUGUAAAUGAAGAGAAACAUUUUCAUUUUGUAAAUUUUUUUUAUUUAUUUUUUAUUUUUUUCCUAUGACUCGAUCUAGCUACAAUCAUUGGAAGAUAAAAGAUGACUGAUCUGGUUUGUGCUUUUCUUAUCUAAUAUUUUCUUGGUGUUUAAUAGGUUUGCAACAAGUAGUUGUAAGUUUCCUCAUACAUAGGGGUUCUGUUCCAGGGGAGAAAUCUAAAUGGCAGUAGCAGGAAAAUCUACAUCCAAAUGUUCACUAACCUCUUAUCACUUACUAGGCUGGCAAUUGAAUAUGAUUUUAAUUUUUUUUACAUAUAAAGGGUUCCUCUUUGAAUUUGGUUGCCUAUUUUGCCAUUUUUUUUUUGUUUGGGGUCUGUUUUACCAUAUUAAUCUAGAUAG